GACAUAUCCUAACUACAACCACAUAAAACGUAUACUACAAAUUAUGCAACUUAACAAGCUUCUACUAUUCUAAAUAGCAAUCAUAUGACAUGCUAAAAUCAUAUAAGGGUGUAAUGGAUAUCAAAACAUAUGUCAAACAUAUCGAAGAAAAAAUAGCAAAUCCUAAUCACAUUAGGCAUGCUUUACACCCUUAACAAUGCAUCAAUUUGAGCAUCAUACAACC
rnacentral:lncRNA from 1 species